AUGUCGACGCAGAUGUCCAGGCAGUCGUUGCCGGCCAGCGUCUUGGCCAUCCUCGCGGCGGCGUCCACCUCGCCGUCCGUGCCGAGUUCAUACUCGUCCAUUUCUCCCACGGCGCCGGCAUCGUCCUCGGGCGCGGCGUGCUUGAGCCUGAGCAGGACCGCCUCGAAGAGAUCCUGGAGGCCGAGCAGCGCCUCGUCGAGCGGGCCCUCGAAGCGCAUCGCCUCCGCCUCCGUCUCGUACACGGCGCGCAGCGCGGAGGCCGCCUCGGUGAGCCGCCGCACCCGACCGCGGCCGGCGGCUUUGGUGGUGGUGCGGCCAAGGAACCCCACCGCCUCCUCGACCCUCCGGACGGCCUCGUCCCCUCGCGCCACCACGUCCUCGAUGGCGUCGCGCAUCUGGUCCACGCGGUCGACGAAGGCGACGGCGCUCUCGGUGUCGGCCGGGUUCUCCGGGAGCUGCGCGGCCUCCUCGGCGAGGGAAGACACCCGGCGCAGAGCCGCGAGGAGUGGCUCGGCGGGGGCGACGGCGCGGUCGAUGCGCGCGCGCAGUGCACGCGCCGCCACGGCCUUGGACUGGAGGUUGGAGGAGGACGGCGAAGAGGCGCUGGACAGGAGGUCAGUGAGGCGGUCGCCGGCCUCGUCGAUGGCAGCUUCCGCCCCGGCAGCGUCGGAAAGCGCGGAGACGAUGGCGGCUCGCGAGGCACGAAGCUUUGCAAGGACGGUGUCGUCCAUGCCAGCGCCGGUCACCGGGGCGGUGGUGGGGCACAUGGCCGGCCGGCCGGCUUGUAAGUACGUGCGGGCGUGCGUAUUGGUAUGUGCUGCACAUUGCUGGCGCCAAGUAUUAUAUGCCCGCCACGAGAAAGCUGGACCGCGUGAUCGCGGAUGGACGGUCAGAGCAAGGCCUGAGUCUUCUUAG
rnacentral:rRNA from 1 species